rnacentral:rRNA from 1 species
UGGGGAAUAUUGCACAAUGGGCGCAAGCCUGAUGCAGCCAUGCCGCGUGUAUGAAGAAGGCCUUCGGGUUGUAAAGUACUUUCAGUCGGGAGGAAGGUGGUAAGGUUAAUAACCUUAUCAAUUGACGUUACCGACAGAAGAAGCACCGGCUAACUCCGUGCCAGCAGCCGCGGUAAUACGGAGGGUGCAAGCGUUAAUCGGAAUUACUGGGCGUAAAGCGCACGCAGGCGGUUGAUUGAGUCAGAUGUGAAAUCCCCGGGCUUAACCCGGGAAUUGCAUCUGAUACUGGUCAGCUAGAGUCUUGUAGAGGGGGGUAGAAUUCCAUGUGUAGCGGUGAAAUGCGUAGAGAUGUGGAGGAAUACCGGUGGCGAAGGCGGCACCCUGGACAAAGACUGACGCUCAGGUGCGAAAGCGUGGGGAGCAAACAGG